rnacentral:rRNA from 1 species
GAUGAACGCUAGCGACAGGCUUAACACAUGCAAGUCGAGGGGCAGCACAGGUAGCAAUACCGGGUGGCGACCGGCGCACGGGUGAGUAACGCGUAUGCAACUUACCUAUCAGAGGGGGAUAACCCGGCGAAAGUCGGACUAAUACCGCAUGAAGCAGGGGUCCCGCAUGGGGGUAUUUGCUAAAGAUUCAUCGCUGAUAGAUAGGCAUGCGUUCCAUUAGGCAGUUGGCGGGGUAACGGCCCACCAAACCGACGAUGGAUAGGGGUUCUGAGAGGAAGGUCCCCAACGUUGGUACGGAGACACGGACCAAACUCCUACGGGAGGCAGCAGUGGGGAAGAUGGGUCAAUGGCCGAGAGGCUGAGCCAGCCAAGUCGCGUGAGGGAUGAAGGUUCUAUGGUGCGUAAACCUCUGUUGUAAGGGAAUAAAGUGCGGGACGUGUCCCGUUUUGUAUGUACCUUAUGAAUAAGGAUCGGCUAACUCCGUG